GAUGAACGCUGGCGGCGUGCCUAAUACAUGCAAGUCGAGCGAACGGACGAGAAGCUUGCUUCUCUGAUGUUAGCGGCGGACGGGUGAGUAACACGUGGAUAACCUACCUAUAAGACUGGGAUAACUUGGGGAAACCGGAGCUAAUACCGGAUGAUAUUUUGAACCGCAUGGGUCAAAAGUGAAAGACGGUCUUGCUGUCACUUAUAGAUGGAUCCGCGCUGCAUUAGCUAGUUGGUAAGGUAACGGCUUACCAAGGCAACGAUGCAUAGCCGACCUGAGAGGGUGAUCGGCCACACUGGAACUGAGACACGGUCCAGACUCCUACGGGAGGCAGCAGUAGGGAAUCUUACGCAAUGGGCGAAAGCAUGACGGAGCAACGCCGCGUGAGUGAUGAAGGUCUUCGGAUCGUAAAACUCUGUUAUUAGGGAAGAACAUAUGUGUAAGUAACUGUGCACAGCUUGACGGUACCUAAUCAGAAAGCCCCGGCUAACUACGUG
rnacentral:rRNA from 1 species